UAUGCACAUAUUCGAAUACCUUCGCCAGCCAUUGUACGUUCUAGUACCUUGUCGUUGGUUUCGUUCUAACGAAUUACUGGCUUGAAAUGUAACUACAGGAAAAGUGACCAAGAAAAAGAGAGGCGUAGAAAAAUAAAACGCGUGGAUUCGAUUGAACCAGGCCGGAAAAAGGAUUUGGAAGACGACGCGACGCGCGAUCGGAAAGGUGGAAAAAGAAAGGAAAGAAAAUAGUAAACGCGAGAGAGAGAAAUAUGUCGUUCGCGCGGACGUACGAGGCAUAACGAGCGCGCGUUUGCGAAAACGUAUAUGCGAUAGGAAUCCCUGCAACAACCAAAGCAUCGACGCGAUUCGGAGGUCCGCCAACGAACGCGUUCACUCGACAAACAGGAUACAUAUGUACCGCGCGACGUUCGUCGUUGUUCUCGCUCGGUCUUCUUGUUCCGCUUUCCGAGCGUAUCUCCUUUGUGCGGGAAACGCGCAUUCGUUCGCAACGAACGUUCUCCGCGAUCGAGCUUACAAUUAGUUGAAAAGUUUGCAACACACGCGUCGCCGAUCGAUCCAGAACUCUGGAAUAUCCCGUUUUCCAAACCGACCUAACGCAACUGGUUCGUUGUAUCCGGUCGCGUCUCACGUGGUCCGGUCGCGUCGCGAACCAAACCGAACGAGAAUUCUAAUGCUCCUUCGUCUUUUCCCGCUUGAUUCUUCCUCCUUGUCCUUUUCACCUAGCACACUUACUUUCUUCUUUCGCUCUUCUACGAUCAGAAAUCAGACGAUUGGUUUAAACGAAAAUAUGCCGAUGAAAACGAUAAACUGCCGAAAAGAUUUAUCUUAGUUCGCGAUCGUGCCGCGCAUCUUUUCAUUACUGCCAUCGUAACGAACGAGCCGCUCUUUUUUCUCCCUGAUCGCGCGCGAUCGAUUCGUGUCGACCCGUCGCGUUUCUUGCAGCGAACGUGCAACGAAACGCGAUGACAAUUGAUUUUCUUCGGAGCAGCAUCUUUGUACUCGCGUGUUUGCUAGAUGGUCGAGGAAGACUCGUCGCGAUGUUGGUUCGCGGCAAUAACGACGUGCGGGUAACACGCGGAUGGAACGCGAUAAAAGCGUACUCGAAUGAUUCGAAGAAAGUGACGUGCGAUGAGAGUGAUAGAGGGGGGAGGGGGGGGGAAGGCAACGAGUAAGUAAGUAAGUCACAUAGUCGAUCGAAACGAAUGCAAUUUUCUACGUAAUUCCAAAAGCGUCCAAAGUACAGGGUGCCGCUGAAUACAAGAGCUCGAGCAUUCCCUUUUCAAAAUCCGAAUUUCGAUUUACCGUGAUUACGCGUUUAAUCAUCGAGCGAGAACAUUGUGUGUAUUUUUAUAUGCGACUCGAAAUGCGUGCUUUUGUCUCAUCGUUUUCGUGCGCUCGUACGCCACCGAUAUUUUGUAACGCUAACUUUGUAAGAUGGAAAGCCGAGAAAGAACACGAAGAGAAAGCGAAGGGAUCCAGCGAUACCUAAAAUAAGCAUCGUCGAGCACGACAAGGCCACAGUCGAAUCCGUUUCUUCGAAAACUGAAAGUGCAAUGUCGCGGCGAUUGAUCCUCGAGUACCGCGACGAUGUUAUCCGCGGUUAUACUUGUCGAUUGUAUUUAGCUAGAUAGUUCCUUAGGUAAAAACUCGUUUUCCUUGUGCAAUCGUACGAUCGUCGUGCCGUUGCACGACGAUGAAUGCCGUCGCGAUGACAAUUAGAAUAUAUAUAUAUAUACAUAUAUAUAUACAUAUAUAUAUCGUGUGUGUAUAUAUAUAUAUAUAUAUAUACGACAUAUAAUAUAUAAAUCUCUCUAUAUAUUAUAUUAUAUUAUAUUAUAUUAUUAUAUUAUAUUAUAUUAUAUUAUAUUAUAUUACAUUGUAUUGUAUUGUAUUGUAUUGUAUUGUAUUGUAUUGUAUUGUAUUGUACUGUAUUAUUGUAUUGUAUUGCAUUGUAUUGUAUACACGAAGAACAAUAUUUCGUAAUUUCUGGAAAAUUUCACUGUCGAUGAACAAACGGCAAUAAUUGGCAAAGUUAAAGUUUCGACGAUGAUCGUUCGUGCGUGUACAAGGGAAAUAAGCACGAACGACGUGUUCGUAUCGUUCGUUUCGGCGUUCCUUCGUUUCUUGCUGGUUGCUGGAGGAACGGCGACGACGUCGACUUCGUUGUCGCAAGGACGCAACCGCGGGCUUUGUUUCUCGACCAAAAAGAACGCUCCGCCCAGCAACGUUAUUACACAUUUCCGGUUAUGCUUUAGGGAAAGGACUUACGAGCGUUGUUUGUUUCACGAGGAACGUACUAACUUUAGGGUUAAGCUUGAGUAAAGGGAAUGCGCGUUAUUCCAAAGCGACACGUUUCGUGGCAAUAUCUGUACAGUAGUCGGACCGAGAUACGCGACUGAAAUAUCUUUAUUUUUGACGACGACGACGACAACGACGAUGAUAGUGACCAUGACGAUGACAGAAACAGAGAUAACGACUACUACUAAACUGGUGAUUAUUAAUAUUACAGUUAGUAGUAUUGAUACUACCACCACUACUACUACUAGUAUAACUACUAUUACUAUUAUCGCUAUUACUACCGCUCUAUUACUACUGCUACUAUUACUACUACUACUACUACUGUUACUGUUACUACUACUGCUACUACUACUACUACUACUACCACUACAACAACAACUACUACUACCACCACCACCACCACCAAUACUACUACAACUACUUCUACUACUACUACUACUACUACUACUACUACUACUACUUCUACUACUACUACUACUACUACUACUCUACUACUCUACUACUACUGCUACUACUACUACUACUACUACUCUACUACUACUACUACUACUACUACUACUACUACUACUACUACUAUUCCUAUUAUUUGUUUAUUAUUAUUUUUAUCAUUAUCCGAUUAUUAUUAUUAUUAUUAUUAUUAUUAUUAUUAUCAUAAAAAUGAAUGUAUUUAUUACCGUUUAUUGCGAGUCGAGUUAUCGAGACGAUCGAAAGGACAGUGAGUAAUUGUAAUGUAAACGUUGAAUUUUUAUUUUCCACGACGAUAGUCAUGUGAAUAUAUUGCUACAGUCCGAUCCAAAUAAUCAAGCUUUUGUAACACUAAUUAUAAUAAAGUAACGGUGAUACUGCUAAUCGCGUAAUUGUAUCGCACACGGUAAUUCGGAUAUGAAGCGUCGAGUGGCCGCGUAGGUAGAAGAAAUUUGCGUGUAUCAUAUAAGUGAGAUAUAAGUACGCCAAAAAUCUUUACAAAUUCAUACGAAAUCGUUCGUUUUAGUUUUCGAUUCCUUUUUACUUCCUUGCGUAUCUAGUGGCAAAUGAGCGGCAAACAGCGGCGAAAUCGCGGCGCUCCCUUCGUUCACGAUGGGUGUGCGCACAAUUUUUCUCUCGCUCGAGGAGAAACCAACUAUAAACAGCCCGUACUCCUCGAGCGAGUUCUCGACGCUCGGUCUCUGUCGUCCGCGAUGUUACCGGGGCGGUUGACGAACGUGCGCAGACGGCAGAGAACGAGAAAAUGUGGCGAGAUGCUAUUUUUCCACGCGUGUACGAUGUCAAAGUCUCUUUCUUCGCACAGUGCGAACGCGCAGAAAGGAGUCGGUGAACCGUGAUUCCUUGUAAUUUCGUCCAGCUCCACGAGCCAAAAGCACAAUAUCUCGACGCUUUCGGGACACAUCGAAUUCGCUUCUGGCGAGCUUUCCUUCUUCCCAUUCAAACGAUAUCACGCGAAACAGAGGGACGCGACACGGAAGCUCGGAAAAGCGGAAGUCAGAGGGAGAACCGAGAGAACGGCGGACCUCGAAAAUCCUCUCACGAACGAACGUUGUUAAUAUCGCGUGCGUAUUUCCUUUUCCGAUAGACUCGCGACUUGUACAACCGCGACCGGAAUUUCUAAAGAUUUUUGGGUAUACGCUCUAUAUGUACGGAGGAACGACGGAAAUAAUUGCUGGUUGUAAGCCGGGAGGAAUGCAGGAUAGAGGAACGAGACCGCGACGACGUCCGCGAGAGAAAAGGAGAACAAGAUUGCCAGGUCUCGAGGAAACGCGGUCGAAUCGGCAGAUAUCGAGAUCGCGCGAUUUCCGGCGCUUCGAGGUUUUUCGUAGAAUUGUAGACGCACUUCGCGCCUCCGAAUCGAUAGAUACAACACUAUUGUUUCUACCGAGUGCGUUUUUUUCUUAUUUCGUCCGUAGCCGGAACGAAUUUAGCCGAUAGUAUCGAUAACGAUAACGCGCUCUAGGCAUUACGAUAAUAACGAUAGCAAUAGCCAUAGACGUAAUAACGAUAAUGAAACGAGCGCUAGACGAAAGAGAAUACGCGAUAAUACAAUAAUUGUUACACGGUCGUGGUAGAUGAGAUGGAAAGGACUUUGCAAUCCUUUUCCGGAGAACACGUGUAAAACGACCUUGUCGACACGAUUACUUUCAAAACAGAUUCAAAUAUAUAGCACGACAACCUCGUAUACGAUAUUUGCACAACCAACCGACAGAAACUUGGAGCGACCUUAGAACGCGCAAUAUCGGUGACCGGAGACGACGAGAACGUAAUUAAAGUUGAACUAAUAAAGCAACAGCCGACAAAAGAAAUUCGUAAUAACGAAUCACGAUAAUAACGAUAACAAUAAUAAUAAUAAUAAUAAUAAUAAUAAUAGUAAUAUUAAUAAUAAUUACAAUAAUAUUAAUAACGAUUUACGGUAAUCGACGUUUACUCUAGUAUUAACUUUAACGCUAAUACUAUGGAUAAUGUUAAUGUUAACGAUACUACUAAUAGUACUACUAAUGGUAAAAAUAACAAAGAAUAGUAAUGCUAAUAAUAAGAGUAACGAUAAAGAAGAACAAAAUUAAUAACGAUAACAAUAAUAAUAUUAUUAGUAACAAUAACGAUAAUCGUGUCCAUUGCCUGUCGCAAAAGGAAAACGAUGCAUAAAAUAACCGGGUACCUACAAAGUGACGUGCCUUUGAGACUUUUCGAAGCAAACGAUCGGUUCGCCGUUAGCUUUCGACUUCCGUCCGUGGAACCCGGUUCCGCGGACGUGUCCGUAUUGCGCGUUUCCAGGGAAACUCGACUCCUUCGGCAAUCGCGAUCGUGCUCGAUCCUUUAGUCACCGCAUCUGCGACACCUGGCAACGAAUCUUCCGAGUUUCGAGUCGUGAACCCACUACCUAGAUCGUAGAUAGGCAACCGCCAGCGAUUGCCAAGAAACGGAGAAAAAGUGAGCGAGAGAGAGAGAGAGAGAGAGAGCGGAAGCGAGUGUAUGCGCGUGUACGAGAGAUAGCAAGAGAACAAGGAUCUAAGGAAAUAAUAGUCGACGAUAACUAGCGGUCGGGUAAUGUGCGAAUUAACGAUAAUCCUUUUCUUAGCGCGAUAGAGCAGGCAUAAUAGAGAAGCGACGAAUAUUUUGAAACGAUUUAAUCGUCGGCCAGUUUAGGGGAAGGGAAAGAGGAAAUAAAUGAAGCAAAAUAACAAUGUCCAUGUUGCUAAAUAUUAGCGGUGAAGUAGUUUGCGUAUAGCGACGUGUUAGUUAAAAAAAUUAGUGCGUAGUGCGAGUGAAACAGAUGGGAUGAAAUGGAGAAACACCGAGAGGGUGGAAAAGGGAGCGAGAGCUUGAGUGAACGCGAAAGAGAACACGAGCGAAAAUUAUCGCGUGGAUACGCAUUUAUAUAUAUAUAUAUAUAUGUAGAGUGGUAAAAUCGAGAGUAUCACACGUACGUGAAACAUACACAAACAAAUGGACAGGCGUGUGGUAAAACGCGGAGAGCAAGAAUAAAAGCAAGAGCGAGAGCAAGAGGAAGGUUGGAUCUGAGAAACGCAAAGGGUAGUAGCAGAAAAAGGAAGAAACAAACGAAGACGAAAGAAGCUAGAUACGCAGAUACACGCGAGAAACACACGAAGCAUAGUAGACACGUAGAUUACAGUUAGGAGAUAGAAUUUUAGGUGAAGUUAUCGAGCCCGUUCCUUCGUAUUAGAUAUGGUAGCGUUAGAGAUGCCCGGCACGCCUCGAAACGAGGACACGUGGUCUGCACCUACCGACUUGGUGGAAAAGAGCUUCGCUCCAACGACGUUUCUUUUGUUUCUCAUCGAAGAAGAAGAAGAAGAAGAAGAAGGAGAAGGUGAAGAAAGAAAAGAGGAGCGUUAGACAACGGCCGCUUGUUACUUCCUCGAGCCGUUCGUUCUUCUCGAUGCAUUCCAUGCUGCGUUUCGUUCGCCACUUUUCCCAAUGGAUCUUUCUCACGAAGAUCGACUUUCCCAGCAAUAAAAGGAAACAGAGAGGGAAUAGACAAGACACAGGAUAGAAACGCGUUCGAAUGGCACGCAUGUAGGGUAGCGACAUCGACGCGACGAGCGCAGAAAAAGAAACAAAAUUUCGUUUUGUAAUUCGCAGAGGCGAAUAAUCGCAGCAAGGCUAGGGCGCACAAGGAAAGAAUAGCGAAAAACGCGAGAUAGAGAAGAAGGGAGUCAACGAAACGGUAAAUGGUAAACAGGGAGAGAAAGAGAGAGAGAGAGAGAGAGAGAGAGCGAGAGAGAAAGAGAGUGUGUGAGAGUACCGUACCCAUUGUAGUCGCGCGUAAAUUAUUAUAAAUAUGAAAACAUUAAUAUUAUCACCGAGCAUAUUGUAUACCUCUUCUGUACAUACAGCUGAACGGCACCAACAAUAACGAGUUACGAUUUUGUCGUAGCCACGAUGGGAAACGGCGAACGUCAGAUCGAUGUUGCGUAUUGUCUUUUUUGCGUGGCGAGCAAUCGAAGCGAGUAUGAUCGUAAUGUAAUUAUAUUACCGCUGCGGUACGAUGUAACUGCAUGAUCGACGGCACCGUAUACAUAUACAUAUACAUGUAUAUAAAUAUAUAUAUAUGUAUAUAUAUGGUAUAUAUAUAUAUAUAUAGUAUAUAUAUAUAUAUAUAUAUAUAGUAUAUAUAUACAUAUUAUAAAUACAUUUCGUAGGACGAGGAUCGCGAUGGCGAGCGAUGAUUUUCUAUUAUUGCUAUAAUUAUUACCAUUACCGUGAUUACGGUUUCUUACGAUGAUCGCUGCGACGACGACGACGAUGAUUAGUACUUACGCGGAUGAGUGUGUUACGAGAGAGUGGCAGGGUAACCGUAACCGAAUGCUAUGUACGGAAAAGUUGAGAGAAAGAACGAAAAAGCGUGUAUCGUUGGCGUGCUCGUCGGACGAGUGUCGCGGGGCAGGGAAGAAGGAUGUAUCCGUCGAGCAGCAGCGUUGUGGACCUUAUUCGUAGGUGUAGACUAACGCGAGCAACAAGGGGUUCCUAAAUGUUGUCCGGACGAUUCGCCAACAUCCGAGGGAGAGCGUACGGGCGAGGAUUUUCCAUCGAAACGAAACGAAAGUGAAUGCGAAAGAAAAAGCACGGGAAGACGUAGGCUGACAGAAAGUAAAAGAGAAGAGAAUCGGCGCUCGUACGCGUCCUGGCGAUGGAUCGCGUCGGCUUCGCACAGCCGUCUCGAAUACAGAGAAAGCCGACUCUUUUUCGCUGAUAUUUCUUUUUUCACGCACCGACGAUGGAUCCCCGAUUUUUAGUCCCGCGAGCGAAUAGGCGAACGACAAAGAGGCAACGCGAUCGAGCCCCAGCGUUCAUUCUCCGUUUAUUUAUCGUUUAUUUAACGUUUAUUACCGUUUAUUACCGUUUAUUACCGUCGAGAAAACGGAACUUCCCCCGAUGAAGUUCGAAGCCACGUUUCUAGGCGUAAACGAUCAUCCUGUGGUUAUUUCUUGGCAGAAGCGAACCAAUGCUCAAACGCUGUUGGUUUAAAGUGAAUAAAAAACAGCUGAGAAACCAAGAUUUUCUUUACCCGUCUGUACCUAUAGGCCUGUAACACGUCGUGUAUGUGCAGUGGAGUAUAAAGGGAAUAAUAAAGAGUACACACUUUUUA